UCCCCUCGCGGGUGACGCUUAGCCGUAGCGGACUCAGCCUUGUGACUGACGAUCGGACA
rnacentral:pre_miRNA from 1 species